AAUAAAUAAAUAAAUUCAUAGAUGGAGAGCAAGGAUGAAAGAAAGGGAGAAAUAGAAUGAAAUAGAGAAGAGAAAAAUACAGAGACAGACGAUUAAAGAGAAGUGGGCCCCGAUUCGAUUGUUAGGAAACUCUAGCGGGCCGUCCUCGUGAGCGUCAGCACUCUCACUGGUGCUUUCUCUCCGCAGGUGUGUGGGUGCAAUGUACACCUGAAUGAUGUUAUUGGAGAACAGAUUCCUACCAAGUAAAAUCAAUCAAUCAAUCAAUCAGAGAAGGAAAAUAUAAUAAAAAAGAAAAAUUGGAAUGAGAAAGAAAAGGGAAACGGAUGCUGCGUCGCGAGCCGUCGCGAGGAUUUCUUUGGUUGCUUGUGCGCGUUUUCCAGGCCCGUCGGUCUUCCAUCCCUGAACCGAUAAACGCGGUGACCGGCGCCUUCACAAUAAUUAUAAUUAAUUUUAUAAUCCAGUCUGGUAGUUUUAAGAAGCGAGUUCUGGCAUCCUCGCCUCGGCGGGGGUGUGGAGCGCCAGCGAGCCCAAGGUCUCCCUGGCGAGCAGGACAGGAGGGCUCCAGGCAGGGCUUCUCGGCGUCCCUCGGGGCCCCGACGGAGGUGCCGGAGAUCUUCGGGCUACGAACCCGGGCAGGUGGAGCUCGUUAGCCGUGGUAGGCAAUCUGCCUAGGAGAGCAAACUCCGAACAAUAAACCCGGGCAGGUGGAGCUCGUUAGCCGUGGUAGGCAAUCUACCUAGGAGAGCAAACUCUAUACAAACCCGGGCAGGUGAGGCUCGUUAGCCGUGGUAGGCAAUUCACCUAGGAGAGCAAACUCUAUACAAACCCGGGCAGGUGAGGCUCGUUAGCCGUGGGAGGCAAUUCACCUAGGAGAGCAAACUCUAUACAAACCCGGGCAGGUGAGGCUCGUUAGCCGUGGGAGGCAACUCACCUAGGAGAGCAAACUCUAAACAAACCCGGGCAGGUGGAGGUCGUCAGCCGUGGUAGGUAAUCUGCCUAGGAGAGCAAACUCCGAACAAUAAACCCGGGCAGGUGGAGGUCGUCAGCCGUGGUAGGCAAUCUGCCUAGGAGAGCAAACUCUAAACAAACCCGGGCUUGUGGUGCUCGUUAUACUGUCGUAGACAAUCCACGCGAUGGGAACACCAAAGAAAAGGAAAAUAAAAAAGAACACCAGAAAAAUGGAAAAUACAGAAACGAAACAUCAAGAAAAGAAACAAAAAAGAUCAUCCACCUUUAGGCCCUAACAUCACCAAAAUUAUGGAUGGGUCUCUUCUGGGGAGAAAGCGGCUCAUCCAAACCAAAGAACAUCAACAAAAGGAUGAUAUGAAUAAAUGAACAUCAAAAAAACAUAAAGAAAAACACAUCAAGGAAAGAAAAAUAUAACAAACAUCAUCCACCUUCCGGCCCUGACUAACAUCACCAAAAUUAUGGGUGGGUCUCUUCUGGGGAGAAAGCGGCUCACCCAGACCAAAGAACAUCAACAAGGGAUGAUAUAGAAAAGAACACCAAAAAAAAUAUGGAAAAAGAACAGAAAAAAAACAUCGAAAAAGAAAAGCAACAGAAAAAAUGAACAACAUCAAGAAAAGAGAAAUACAAAGAAACAUCAUCCACCUUUCGGCCCCAAACAACAUCACCAAAAUUAUGGAUGGGUCUCUUCUGGGAGGAAAGCGGCUCAUCCAGACCAAGGAACAUCAACAAAAGGAUGAUAGGAAAAAAAUAACAACAAAAAGCAUCAAUAAGAAGUAAAAAGAAAAAGAACAGGAAAACAUCGAAAAAGAAAACAAAAGCAAUGAAAAGAACGAAAAACACGACAUCAAGAAAAUAAAAUAAAACAAACAUCAUCCACCUUUCGGCCCUAACAACAUCUCCAAAAUUAUGGGUGGGUCUCUUCUGGGAGGAAAGCGGCUCACCCAGACCAACGAACAUCAACAAAAGGAUGAUAGGAAAAAAGAACAUCAAAAAAGAACAUCAAAAAAGAAAACCAA